CACUAUCGUUAACUGAAUACAUAGGUUAACGAGGCGAACCGGGGGAACUGAAACAUCUAAGUACCCCGAGGAAAAGAAAUCAACCGAGAUUCCCCCAGUAGCGGCGAGCGAACGGGGAGCAGCCCAGAGUCUGAAUCAGCUUGUGUGUUAGUGGAACGGUCUGGAAAGUCCGACGGUACAGGGUGAUAGUCCCGUACACCAAAAUGCACAGGUUGUGAACUCGAAGAGUAGGGCGGGACACGUGGUAUCCUGUCUGAAUAUGGGGGGACCAUCCUCCAAGGCUAAAUACUCCUGACUGACCGAUAGUGAACCAGUACCGUGAGGGAAAGGCGAAAAGAACCCC
rnacentral:rRNA from 1 species